rnacentral:rRNA from 1 species
GGGUCUACCCAUUGGUCAGGCUUAAUUGCCUGCACUGGUGAGAUGGACCUCUACCUUCUGAGGAACUUUCAUGCCAUUUAUUUGGUGUGAUGGGAAAUCAGGACUGUUACUUUGAAAAAAUUAGAGUGUUUAAAGCAGGCAUUCGCUUGAAUACAUUAGCAUGGAAUAAUGAAAUAGGACGGACUGAUUCUAUUUCGUUGGUUUCUAGGAUCACCGUA